UAACGCAUGCAAGUCGAGCGAGAAGUUGGAAGUGAAGAUUCGAUUGGAACGGAAAAUGGAAAGCGGCAGACGGGUGAGUAACGCGUGAAUAAUCAACCCUGCACAAAGGGAUAGCCUCGGGAAACCGGGAUUAAUACCAUAUGAAGUAUAUUAAUCGAAUGAUAGAUAUAUUAAAGUUUAUAACGGUGCAGGACGAGUUCGCGUCCCAUUAGCUAGUUGGUAAGAUAACAGCUUACCAAGGCGACGAUGGGUAGCCGGCCUGAGAGGGUGAACGGGCACACUGGAACUGAGACACGGUCCAGACUCCUACGGGAGGCAGCAGUGGGGAAUAUUGCACAAUGGAGGAAACUCUGAUGCAGCGACGCCGCGUGAGCGAAGAAGGCCUUCGGGUCGUAAAGCUCUGUCCUAAGAGAAGAAGAAGUGACGGUAUCUUAGGAGGAAGCCCCGGCUAACUACGUGCCAGCAGCCGCGGUAAUACGUAGGGGGCUAGCGUUGUCCGGAAUUACUGGGCGUAAAGGGUGAGUAGGUGGUCAUUAAAGUCAGAUGUAAAAGGCAAUGGCUCAACCAUUGUAAGCAUAUGAAACUUAAUGACUUGAGUGCAGGAGAGGUAAAUGGAAUUCCUAGUGUAGCGGUGAAAUGCGUAGAUAUUAGGAAGAACACCAGUGGCGAAGGCGAUUUACUGGACUGUAACUGACACUGAGUCACGAAAAGCGUGGGGAGCAAACAGGAUUAGAUACCCUGGUAGUCCACGCUGUAAACGAUGAGUGCUAGGUGUCGGCAAGAGAUUGUCGGUGCCGCAGUUAACGCAUUAAGCACUCAGACUGAGGAAUACGAUCGCAAGAUUGAAACUCAGAGGAAUUGACGAGGAACCAGAUCAAGGCAGCGGAACAUUGUGGUAGAUUCGAAGCAACGCGAAGAACCUUACCAAGACUUGACAUCCUCUUGAUGGGUGUAGAAGUACACCGUCUCUUCGGAGCAAGAGUGACAGUUGGUGCAUGGUUGUCGUCAGCUCGUGUCGUGAGAUGU
rnacentral:rRNA from 1 species